ACGAGAAAGUGGAGCAAUCCAUGAGUAAAGUGGCGCACGGGUGAGUAACACGUGAAUGAUCUACCUCCGAGUGGGGAAUAACCUAGAGAAAUCUGGGCUAAUACCGCAUAACACUUACGAGUCAAAGCAGCAAUGCGCUUGGAGAGGAGUUCGCGGCCGAUUAGUUAGUUGGCGGGGUAAUGGCCCACCAAGACGAUGAUCGGUAUCCGGCCUGAGAGGGCGCACGGACACACUGGAACUGAAACACGGUCCAGACUCCUACGGGAGGCAGCAGUGGGGAAUUUUGCGCAAUGGGGGAAACCCUGACGCAGCAACGCCGCGUGGAGGAUGAAAUCCCUUGGGAUGUAAACUCCUUUCGAUCGGGACGAUUAUGACGGUACCGGAAGAAGAAGCCCCGGCUAACUUCGUGCCAGCAGCCGCGGUAAUACGAGGGGGGCAAGCGUUGUUCGGAAUUAUCGGGCGUAAAGGGCGCGUANGCGGUUUGACAAGUCUGAUGUGAAAU
rnacentral:rRNA from 1 species